rnacentral:pre_miRNA from 1 species
UCUUAUGGAUGAGCAAAGAAAGUGGUUUCUUGAGAUGGAAUCUACUCCUGGAGUAGAUGCUGUAAC